rnacentral:rRNA from 1 species
GUGGGGAAUAUUGCGCAAUGGGGGCAACCCUGACGCAGCAAUACCGCGUGAGUGAAGAAGGUUUUCGGAUCGUAAAACUCUUUUAUUGGGGAAGAAGAAGUGACGGUACCCAAUGAAGAAGUCCCGGCUAACUACGUGCCAGCAGCCGCGGUAAUACGUAGGGGACAAGCGUUGUCCGGAAUCACUGGGCGUAAAGGGCGCGUAGGCGGUUUUAUAAGUCAGAUGUGAAAGGUACCGGCUCAACCGGUGACGUGCAUUUGAAACUGUAAGACUUGAGUACUGGAGAGGCAAGUGGAAUUCCUAGUGUAGCGGUGAAAUGCGUAGAUAUUAGGAGGAACACCGGUGGCGAAGGCGGCUUGCUGGACAGAUACUGACGCUGAGGUGCGAAAGCGUGGGGAGCGAACAGGAUUAGAUACCCGUGUAGUCC